GUUUUUGUAGUUGAAAUACAACGGUGGUUUUUCAAGCCAUUAGUCUUGGUUAGAGCCCGAGCAGAAAUU
rnacentral:tRNA from 1 species